AUUGAACGCUGGCGGCAGGCCUAACACAUGCGAGUCGAGCGGAGCGGCGGACGGGUGAGUAAUGCCUGGGAAUCUGCCUGGUAGUGGGGGAUAACGUCCGGAAACGGGAGCUAAUACCGCAUACUAUCAGAUGAGCCUAGGUCGGCUUAGUUAGUAGGUGGGGGAAAGGCUCACCUAGGCGACGAUCCCUAGCUGGUCAGAGAGGAUGACCAGCCAAACGGGAACUGAGACACGUUCCAGGCUGCUCCGGUGUGCAGCAGUGGGGACUAUUGCACAAUGGGCGCAAGCCUGAUGCAGCCAUGCCGCGUGUAUGAAGAAGGCCUUCGGUUUGUAAAGUACUUUCAGCGAGGAGGCGUUCCUCGCAGAAGAAGCACCGGCUAACUCCGUGCCAGCAGCCGCGGUAAUAC
rnacentral:rRNA from 1 species